AGGAUGAAGAGAAUAUUAGCAGUUGAAAGGAAAAUGUAGAAAUAGAAACAUUAUGUAUAUUUAACAGAAAACAAUGAUCAACAUGAAAUGUUGAAGAUAUAUGUUCUAAGUGAUAGCUAUAUGUAGAUAUGGUUCAGAGAAGGCAAAUUGCAUGUAUUGUUUGAUACACGGAGAGAAGAUUCAGUGGACCACGUACAUAAUAAGCAGAAAGAGG
rnacentral:lncRNA from 1 species